AUCUUUCAACUGAAGAACUAUUAAAACUAUGUAAUGAUGGUGUUAAAAUUCUUCUUAAAAAUAUUAAAGACCAUAAUUUACAUGAACUGAAGAAGAAAAUAGAACUAGAAGGAUUUCAGGAACAAUUAAAACCAGUAAUAGUUUCAGACAUUAAACUUAGAAAAGAAUUAUCAGUUAAGAAUCCUUCAUUGAGUGAUAACGAUGAAAAUCUUGAAGAGUGUCGCGCAUCCAUAAAGGAAGCAGCAAAAAAAUUUGUGGAAAUAAAUACAAAGAAUAAGAGUGAAC